CCGUCUACUCUUGGCCAGCCUUCUGAAAGGAAGAUUAAUCCAGGAUGGGAUCAUGAGUUCACAUGUCCGCAUGAUUAAAGGUAUUUUCCGGUAGACGAUGGGGAUGCGUUCCAUUAGAUAGUAGGCGGGGUAACGGCCCACCUAGUCAACGAUGGAUAGGGGUUCUGAGAGGAAGGUCCCCCACAUUGGAACUGAGACACGGUCCAAACUCCUACGGGAGGCAGCAGUGAGGAAUAUUGGUCAAUGGGCGAUGGCCUGAACCAGCCAAGUAGCGUGAAGGAUGACUGCCCUAUGGGUUGUAAACUUCUUUUAUAAAGGAAUAAAGUCGGGUAUGCAUACCCGUUUGCAUGUACUUUAUGAAUAAGGAUCGGCUAACUCCGUGCCAGCAGCCGCGGUAAUACGGAGGAUCCGAGCGUUAUCCGGAUUUAUUGGGUUUAAAGGGAGCGUAGAUGGAUGUUUAAGUCAGUUGUGAAAGUUUGCGGCUCAACCGUAAAAUUGCAGUUGAUACUGGAUGUCUUGAGUGCAGUUGAGGCAGGCGGAAUUCGUGGUGUAGCGGUGAAAUGCUUAGAUAUCACGAAGAACUCCGAUUGCGAAGGCAGCCUGCUAAGCUGCAACUGACAUUGAGGCUCGAAAGUGUGGGUAUCAAACAGGAUUAGAUACCCUGGUAGUCCACACGGUAAACAAUGAAUACUCGCUGUUUGCGAUAUACGGCAAGCGGCC
rnacentral:rRNA from 1 species